rnacentral:rRNA from 1 species
UAAUACCCGCAGCCCGAGUGGUAGUCGAUUUUAUUGGGCCUAAAGCGUCCGUAUCCGGUCUGAUAAAUGCUUGGGUAAAUUGUCUGGCUUAACCAGACGAAUUCCGGGUAGACUGUCAGACUUGGGACCGGUUGAGGAAGAGGGUACUUUAGGGGUAGGAGUGAAAUCCUGUAAUCCUUGAAGGACCACCAGUGGCGAAGGCGCUCUUCUAGGACGGGUCCGACGGUGAGGGACGAAAGCCAGGGGAGCAAACCGGAUUAGAUACCCGGGUAGUCCUGGCCGUAAACGAUGUGGGCUUUGCAUUGGGGGUUCUACGUGGGCGCCCAGUGCCGUAGCGAAGGCGUUAAGCCCACCGCCUGGGAAGUAUGGUCGCAAGGCUG